GAGAAGAAGGUACUUUGCAACGUAAUUUAAGUGUCACUGAUCUUGUGGCAGAAGGUGAAUCUUCAAGCAAAGGUACAACUACAAACCAACCUGAAGAGAAAGAUGGAGAAGCUGAAACUAGUAGAAUAGAAAUGAAAGAUGAAAAUAUAGAUAAUGCUAAAGAAGUGACUGUAAGUUUAGGGAUAGAAAGCAAUACUGAACUGGGUACAAAUGAAAAAAAUGAAUCAGGCUCAUCUUCUGAUAGCGAUCAGGUCAUAAGACCAAGAAAACCUGAAUCUUUAACAAUCCCACCUCCUGUAUUAUUUAGAUUUCCUGAAGUGUUGAUCCACACUCCUUCACCCAAUUCGACUCCUUGUCCGAUUCCUAAAGCAAGAAGUACACAUGAACAAAACUCUUAUGCUGCUAGCCCUGCUACAAUUGACAGGUCACGAAUAGAGAAUCAUUUACUUUACACUAACAAUGGACCUUGGCAUACUCCUACUAAUUCCAUAGCUUCCGAUAUGCAAGUUGAGGUAUCAGAAAUUGGUUCACCUCCAGUUACAGGAGAUGGAUCAGCUUCAUCUAAUGAUGGAGGGUCUUUGAC
rnacentral:lncRNA from 1 species